UAUAGGUAACUUAUAUUUAUCUCGGGAAACUUGAAUUAAAUGACGAGCUUUCUUUAUAAACGAAAGAUAUGGUGUUGAUUUCUGACGCAGGCAUGCAACAACGUCGUCAAAAGAAUCAUUUUGUGAAGAGGGAAGGAAAUAGACUUUUUGAAUUUCGGAAAAUAUGUGAUCGCUUAUUAAAAAAUGUUUGCUUUCUGUAAGCAAAAAGUGUAACAAUGAGAUUUUAGCAUAUGGGCUAGGCUUCGAAGUUUUGUACACAAAUUUCAAAAGGUCUGAAAAAGAAGCUGAAUUGUCAAGUUUAUUUGGAAUAUUGAAUUCUGUCAAUAUUCGCAAAAAUUCAUUUCGGUGACUUCGACUUAAAUCUUGUGCUCUUUGAGAGAUUUUUUUUAAUAACUUUAUAGUGAAAGGUAGGACAUCAGAAGGAACAGAAACAUCAGAAAGAGGUUGCUGCACCUCUUUCAGCUUUUUAAAGACAUUAGGACAUCUCAGUAAAACUCUAGAUGUACGAAAUUCCUUAAUAGUACCGUUUUCGUUAAUGCUGGUCAAUACAUUACUAUAGUUCCAAACAUUAGUACCAGUGCAUGCAGCAAGUUCAAUGCCUUCGGAGCCCCUAUAAAACACUAGCAAAUCUCCACGAUCGUACUGUCUAAAAUUCUCACUGCUGAAAUCUUCUAAAUCAAAAGAAUACUCAAAAUCAUUUUCCAACUUCUCUUCCUCAGAUUUUGUAGUAGUAGGACAAACAGCAGCGCGUUUGUCCUUCUCGAACUUGUCUUUCAACCACUGUCUAAUGUUUCCAUGAUUUUCUAAUUCAGAGAAAAAUUUUUUAAGGUUUUCCUCAUUCACGGAUUUCAAAUUAGCAUUUUUAAAUCGAUCAAUAAGAUCUGAUUGAGUAUGCUUCAAACGCGCACCACAAUGUCCCCAAAGAUGAUGAUCGUUUGCUGGUUGUUUCCCGAAAUUUAUUAGGCAUCCAGUUAUGCGGAAAUAUUUCAAAACUUUUGAACUGGAAGGGCAAGCAUGAUGAAAUUUCCUUGUAAGUUUACAAGGAGACAAUUUUAAAGACAGGCAUACACGUUUUAAUAAAUAAUUAGACUCUAAAUUAACAUUUUGAAGAAG